AUUGAACGCUGGCGGAAUGCUUUACACAUGCAAGUCGAGCGGCAGCACGGGGGCAACCCUGGUGGCGAGCGGCGAACGGGUGAGUAAUACAUCGGAACAUGCCCAGUCGUGGGGGAUAACACUUCGAAAGAAGUGCUAAUACCGCAUACGUCCUGAGGGAGAAAGCGGGGGAUCGCAAGACCUCGCGCGAUUGGAGUGGCCGAUGUCAGAUUAGCUAGUUGGUGGGGUAAAGGCCUACCAAGGCAACGAUCUGUAGCUGGUCUGAGAGGAUGAUCAGCCACACUGGGACUGAGACACGGCCCAGACUCCUACGGGAGGCAGCAGUGGGGAAUUUUGGACAAUGGGGGCAACCCUGAUCCAGCCAUUCCCCGUGAGUGAAGAAGGCCUUCGGGUUGUAAAGCUCUUUCGGCAGGAACGAAACGGCGAGCUCUAACAUAGCUUGCUAAUGACGGUACCUGAAGAAGAAGCACCGGCUAACUACGUG
rnacentral:rRNA from 1 species